AAGAUAGUUGGUCAUGCAUCUAUAACUAGUGGUGACUCUCAUAAUGUGGUUGAGUUGUGGGACUUCGGGUGGACCUGUUAGUGACAUGAGUUUAGUUGGACUAGUAAACAAGGUUUACUAUGUGUUGAAUUGAACUGGAAUUGUUGGAGACUAACAAUAGCUUGAAGUAUGUUUCAGAGGAGUUGAAGAGGUCUUGCGUGUUACAAGG
rnacentral:lncRNA from 1 species